GGCCACGGCCACGGCCACGCUGGCCUCCCCCCGGCCCGAGCCUCGGCUUGCGGUUCCUCCUGCCGGAAUCUCUUCCCUCCGUGCAGCCCGGUCAGCCCGCCUCCCUCCCUUCACAUCUUGUUUAUUCUUGAGCGCUUUCCUCAAGGACCCACGUCAGGGCGAAUCUCCCACAUUCACAGCGCUGACGCCACGGACGUCCGUCUCCUUAUGGGAGGCGUCACUUCUCACUAACUUGCGCCAUCGACACUGCUGAGCUCCCCGAAGCACGUCUGCAUCCGGUCACUGCAACGCCCUCGGCGCUCGGCGCAGUCGGGCUCAGGGACCACUGGUUGACAGAAUCGGCGAAUGAACGAGGGAGGGUCCGCGCUGACCGUUAGACUUUCCAGCCUGGGAGGCAAGCUGUAAUGUUUGAAAAUAGUAAAGCAUUGGUGACCAUGGGCAGUGUCAGCACAAAUUCGAGUAUUACUGUGAACACAAACUUCGCCAAGUUGUUUAUUGUUCAGUAACUCUUCUUACCGGUGAAAGUUGAUUUCUUCCUCCCACACUGUGACUCUAUUUCCUGGAUGUUUACUGAACAGUCUAUUCACCACAAAAGUCUCUCAUCCACAGUUAGAGAAUUUUAAGAUUCUAGAAGCUGAGCCUUUACCUUGCAAUCACCUGGCAACCAGCGUGGGGGACAAAAGCCACAUGCAAAGGAUCGCGAAACAGAAGGCUAGAAAGAGCCGGAUGGCCCCCGGCUGCCCUCACACACCUGAACCAUCCAUCCUCUGACUCCUCGUGUGGGGCACAGAAGCCAAAGCCACCGUGGCGCGCUGAGCCAGUCUGUCCAGUGUGACGUUACCCUCAGCCAAGUGAGAUGCUAAUGGUCCCACUGCGACAUGGGCUGCUUCUUCCAGAUGGGAAGAUGGACUUGGUGCUUAAUAGGAUGCGCGGGAGGGCUGCUGAGUCAAAACUCAUGGUUGCACUUCGCCAGGGAGGAAACUGGUUGGAAGAGAAUCUAGUUCUUGCUCUUUCAUUUCCACAAAGUCCAGGGACCGGUCACCCGUGUCAGGGCAGGGGACCCGGGGCCUACAUCACUGACAGGGACUCCGUUUACUUACUGUGGAGAGGGACAUGGCCCAGGCCCAGCUCUCCCACUGCUCUUCAGGUAGCUAACGUGAUUCCUGUGGCUGCACCUCUGCAGCACCUAUAGCACUUUUGUUAGGUUUAAUUCUUUAUUUUUAUGUUUUAUUGAUUUCAGGGAGAGGAAGAGAGGGAUAGAAACAUCAAUAAGAGAGAAUCAUUGAUUGGCUGCCUCCUGCAAGUCUUCUCCUGGGGAUCGAGCCUGCAACCCGGGCAUGUGCCCUGACCGGGAAUCGAACCAUGACCUCCUGUUUCAUGUGUCAACGCUCAACCACUGAGCCACACCAGUCAGGCUGUUAGGUUUAAUUCUUCAAGGUGCCUUUCCACAGCUAUCCACAUGUGAAAUGGUUAGGGAUGAAAGCCUGUUUUCACAAGUGUAAGAGAUCAAAGAUUUGCUGUAAAUGCCAGCACUUUGAGAAAAUUCUGGAUAAUAUUAUAGAAAAGUCUUGGAAAUUCUAGAUCUACUCAAUUCUCAGUGAAUUGUAUCUUUUUUUUUUUUUAAUUUUCCUUCUGCUCAGUCAUUGUCUGCUCAGGAAAUCCAAACUAAUUGAAAUCUGAGCCCAGUUGUAAAUUAGGAAGCUUGUUUGCUAAGAAAAAAAUAAUAAUCAUGUGCCUCACAGGUGAUCUUAGGUUUUGGACCAGACACACACGUACAUAGCACAUGUGGAGUCCAUAAGCUGGUCCAAGGUGCCACGCACAUUUAGGUUCAUCUUCGUCGUCGGUGUGACAGAUGCCAGGCCGACAGUAUUUCUUAGAGGAUUGGCUUAUGUUCUCUUUCAAAAACCCUAGCAAUGGAAGUAUUGGCAAAACAGGGUUUUAAAAAAUUACUAAUGUAUUUGUCUGAGCUUUCUUCUUUCAAUAAAAGCACUGAUAUGCA